GGUUUAGGGUGGCAGAGAGAGUGCCUUGGGUUUAAGCCUCAAAUACAAGAUGAAUGUCUUUCCUAAAA
rnacentral:tRNA from 1 species